AACGAACGCUGGCGGCAGGCCUAACACAUGCAAGUCGAACGGACCCUUCGGGGUUAGUGGCGGACGGGUGAGUAACGCGUGGGAACGUGCCCCUUUCUUCGGAAUAGCCUCGGGAAACUGGGAGUAAUACCGGAUAAGCCCUUUGGGGGAAAGAUUUAUCGGGAAGGGAUCGGCCCGCGUUGGAUUAGGUAGUUGGUGGGGUAAUGGCCUACCAAGCCGACGAUCCAUAGCUGGUUUGAGAGGAUGAUCAGCCACACUGGGACUGAGACACGGCCCAGACUCCUACGGGAGGCAGCAGUGGGGAAUCUUAGACAAUGGGGGAAACCCUGAUCUAGCCAUGCCGCGUGAUCGAUGAAGGCCUUAGGGUUGUAA
rnacentral:rRNA from 1 species